rnacentral:rRNA from 1 species
GGCAUAAUCAUUAGUCUUUUAAUUUGAGACUGGUAUGAAAGAGUAAACCAGGAGAAUUUCUUUUCAACUAAAAAAAUGAAAUUUACUUUUUAGUAAGAAGGCUAAAAUAAAACUUUUAGACAAGAAGACCCUAUAAAACUUUAUAUUUCUAUUUCUUAAAAGAAAGAAGAAGUAUUUUACUGGGGCGGUAGAGAAAAGAGCUUUCUUUAAAAAGAAGUAACAAACAAGUUUUUAUACCUAGAAGUUCUAAAAAAGAAAUAAGUUACUUUAGGGAUAACAGCUUAAUUUACUUAGAAAGAUCAAAUUGACAAGUAAGUUUAUGACCUCGAUGUUGAAUUAAAAUACUAUUUUUGCGCAAAAGCUCAAAA